AAAGUACUCCCUCCGUCCCAAAAUUCUUGUCUUAGAUUUGUCUAGAUACGGAUGUAUCAAGUCACAUUUUAGUAUUAGAUACAUCCGUAUAUAGAAAAAUCUAAGACAAGAAAUUUGGGACAAAGGGAGUAGUUG
rfam:Triticum aestivum genome assembly, contig: Triticum_aestivum_CS42_TGACv1_scaffold_093540_2AL